AAACAGACAUGAGGGCCAUUUCACAUGCGGGUUAGUUUCAGUCCUGUAGGGUUAGUUUGAGUCCUGUAGUGUAGUUAGUUUGAGUCCUGUAGGGUAGUUUGAGUCCUGUAGGGUAGUUCGUUUGAGUCCUGUAGGGUAGUUAGUUUGAGUCCUGUAGUUAGUUUGAGUUCUUUAGGGUAGUUUGAGUCCUGUAGGGUAGUUAGUUUGAGUUCUGUAGGGUAGUUAGUUUGAGUCCUGUAGGGUAGUUAGUUUGAGUCCUGUAGGGUAGUUUGAGUCCUGUAGAGUAGUUAGUUUGAGUCCUGUAGGGUAGUUAGUUUGAGUCCUGUAGGGUAGUUUGAGUCCUGUAGGGUAGUUAGUUUGAGUCCUGUAGGGUAGUUAGUUUGAGUCCUGUAGGGUAGUUUGAGUCCUGUAGGGUAGUUAGUUUGAGUCCCGUAGGGUAGUUUGAGUCCUGUAGGGUAGUUAGUUUGAGUCCUGUAGGGUAGUUUGAGUCCUGUAGGGUAGUUAGUUUGAGUCCUGUAGGGUAGUUUGAGUCCUGUAGGGUAGUUAGUUUGAGCUCUGUAGGGUAGUUAGUUUGAGUCCUGUAGGGUAGUUAGUUUGAGUUCUGUAGGGUAGUUUGAGUCCUGUAGGGUAGUUAGUUUGAGUCCUGUAGGGUAGUUAGUUUGAGUUCUGUAGGGUAGUUAGUUUGAGUCCUGUAGGGUAGUUUGAGUCCUGUAUGGUAGAUAGUUUGAGUCCUGUAGGGUAGUUUGAGUCCUGUAGGGUAGUUAGUUUGAGUCCUGUAGGGUAGUUUGAGUCCUGUAGGGUAGUUAGUUUGAGUCCUGUAGGGUAGUUUGAGUCCUGUAGGGUAGUUAGUUUGAGUUCUGUUGGGUAGUUUGAGUCCUGUAGGGUAGUUUGAGUCCUGUAGGGUAGUUAGUUUGAGUCCUGUAGGGUAGUUAGUUUGAGUUCUGUAGGGUAGUUAGUUUGAGUCCUGUAGGGUAGUUAGUGUGAGUCCUGUAGGGUAGUUUGAGUCCUGUAGGGUAGUUAGUUUGAGUUCUGUUGGGUAGUUUGAGUCCUGUAGGGUAGUUAGUUUGAGUCCUGUAGGGUAGUUAGUUUGAGUUCUGUAGGGUAGUUAGUUUGAGUUCUGUUGGGUAGUUUGAGUCCUGUAGGGUAGUUAGUUUGAGUCCUGUAGGGUAGUUAGUUUGAGUCCUGUAGGGUAGUUAGUUUGAGUCCUGUAGGGUAGUUUGAGUCCUGUAGGGUAGUUAGUUUGAGUCCUGUAGGGUAGUUUGAGUCCUGUAGGGUAGUUAGUUUGAGUCCUGUAGGGUAGUUAGUUUGAGUCCUGUAGGGUAGUUUGAGUCCUGUAGGGUAGUUAGUUUGAGUCCUGUAGGGUAGUUAGAGUCCUGUAGGGUCAUUCUGAUGUAGGGGGACAUGUAGCAGUAGGUCCAUACUCUUACAGCUGUCUCUGAUAGGUCCAUACUCUUACAGC